rnacentral:rRNA from 1 species
GACGAACGCUGGCGGCGUGCUUAACACAUGCAAGUCGAACGGAGUGGCGAACGGGUGAGUAACACGUGGGUGAUCUGCCUUGCACUUCGGGAUAAGCUUGGGAAACUGGGUCUAAUACCGGAUAGAGAAAGAUUAGCUCGCGGCCUAUCAGCUCGUUGGGUGGGUAAUGGCCUACCAAGGCGUCGACGGGUAGCCGGCCUGAGAGGGUGUACGGACACAUUGGGAAUGGGAUGCGGCCCAGACGCCGACGGGAGGCAGCAGUGGGGAAAAGUGCACAAGGGGCGGAAGGCUGAUGCAGCGACGCCGCGGGGGGGAUGAAGGCCGUCGGGUUGUAAACUCCUUUCGACAGGGACGCGGUACCUGUAUAAGAAGCGCCGGCUAACUACGUGCCAGCCGCCGCGGUAAUUC